rnacentral:rRNA from 1 species
AUUGAACGCUGGCGGCAGGCCUAACACAUGCAAGUCGAACGAGUGGCGGACGGGUGAGUAAUGUCUGGGAAACUGCCUGAUGGAGGGGGAUAACUACUGGAAACGGUAGCUAAUACCGCAUACCAUCAGAUGGGCCCAGAUGGGAUUAGCUAGUUGGUGGGGUAACGGCUCACCAAGGCGACGAUCCUUAGCUGGUCUGAGAGGAUGACCAGCCACACUGGAACUGAUACACGGUCCAGACUCCUACGGGAGGCAGCAGUGGGGAAUGUUGCACAAUGGGCGCAAGCCUGAUGCAGCCAUGCCGCGUGUAUGAAGAGGGCCUUCGGGUUGGAAAGUACUUUCAGCGGGGAGGCGUUACCCGCAGAAGAAGCACCGGCUAACUCCGUGCCAGCCGCCGCGGUAAUUC